AGUCGAGCGGACAGAAGGGAGCUUGCUCCCGGAUGUUAGCGGCGGACGGGUGAGUAACACGUGGGUAACCUGCCUGUAAGACUGGGAUAACUCCGGGAAACCGGAGCUAAUACCGGAUAGUUCCUUGAACCGCAUGGUUCAAGGAUGAAAGACGGUUUCGGCUGUCACUUACAGAUGGACCCGCGGCGCAUUAGCUAGUUGGUGAGGUAACGGCUCACCAAGGCGACGAUGCGUAGCCGACCUGAGAGGGUGAUCGGCCACACUGGGACUGAGACACGGCCCAGACUCCUACGGGAGGCAGCAGUAGGGAAUCUUCCGCAAUGGACGAAAGUCUGACGGAGCAACGCCGCGUGAGUGAUGAAGGUUUUCGGAUCGUAAAGCUCUGUUGUUAGGGAAGAACAAGUGCAAGAGUAACUGCUUGCACCUUGACGGUACCUAACCAGAAAGCCACGGCUAACUACGUGCCAGCAGCCGCGGUAAUACGUAGGUGGCAAGCGUUGUCCGGAAUUAUUGGGCGUAAAGGGCUCGCAGGCGGUUUCUUAAGUCUGAUGUGAAAGCCCCCGGCUCAACCGGGGAGGGUCAUUGGAAACUGGGAAACUUGAGUGCAGAAGAGGAGAGUGGAAUUCCACGUGUAGCGGUGAAAUGCGUAGAGAUGUGGAGGAACACCAGUGGCGAAGGCGACUCUCUGGUCUGUAACUGACGCUGAGGAGCGAAAGCGUGGGGAGCGAACAGGAUUAGAUACCCUGGUAGUCCACGCCGUAAACGAUGAGUGCUAAGUGUUAGGGGGUUUCCGCCCCUUAGUGCUGCAGCUAACGCAUUAAGCACUCCGCCUGGGGAGUACGGUCGCAAGACUGAUACUCAUAGGAAUUGACGGGGGCCCGCACAAGCGGUGGAGCAUGUGGUUUAUUUCGAAGCAACGCGAAGAACC
rnacentral:rRNA from 1 species